rnacentral:sRNA from 1 species
UGUUUUUCAUUUUUUUUU